rnacentral:rRNA from 1 species
UACGUAGGCAGCGAGCGUUGUUCGGAGUUACUGGGCGUAAAGGGUGUGUAGGCGGUUGUUUUAAGUUUGGUGUGAAAUCUCCCGGCUCAACUGGGAGGGUGCGCCGAAUACUGAAUGGCUAGAGUCCGGAAGAGGAGAGUGGAAUUCCUGGUGUAGCGGUGAAAUGCGCAGAUAUCAGGAAGAACACCCGUGGCUAAGGCGGCUCUCUAGUACGGUACUGACGCUGAGACGCGAAAGCGUGGGGAGCGAACAGG